AAGAGAUAGUUGAUGGGGCCUCCUCUUCCAUCUUGGUUUGUCUUGAGUCCCCUCCUAUCCACCUCCAGCCUCGAGCGACCUGCGCACGCUCGCCGGCCAUGCCGCCGCCACUCUCCUUCCUCCACCCACCUCCCAACCCGCCUGUCCUCCACCCCUCUCCCUUCCACCACCACGCCCCCCACCGCCUCUCCCUCCGCGCCGACCCCCCGCUCCGAGCGGCGGCGGCGGCGGCAUCCGAUAACCCGUACUCGGCGGCGCCCACUGCGGUGGACGUCGAGAUGUUCCGCGGCGGGGACGGCGUGUGGACGGCGCGGAACCCGACGGUGGUGGUGCUAUGGGACCUCGACAACAAGCCCCCGCGCGGGCCGCCCUUCGAGGCUGCCACCUCCCUCCGCGAGGCGGCCUCCCUCCUCGGCCGCGUCGACUCCGUCUCCGCCUUCGCCAACCGCCACGCCUUCACCCACCUCCCCGCCUGGGUCUCCGCCGACCGCCGCGAGCGCCGCGCCCUCGACCGCGCGGAGCGCACGGGCGCCGCCGCCCCGCCCGUCCCCUACUCCUGCGCCGUCUGCGGCCGCCGCUUCCCCACCCGCCCCGACCUCGCCCGCCACUUCCGCCAGCUCCACGAGCGCGAGCGCAACAAGAAGCUCGGCCGCCUCCGCUCCCUCAAGGGCAAGAAGCGCCAGAAGUUCCGCGAGCGCUACAUCUCCGGCAACACCAAGUACCAGGACGCCGCGCGAGAGCUCCUCACCCCCAAGGUCGGCUACGGGCUCGAUUCCGAGCUCCGGCGAGCCGGCGUCCAUGUCCGCACCGUCCCGGACAAGCCGCAGGCUGCCGACCAGGCGCUGAAACGUCAGGUGAAGCACGCCAUUGCCUGCGGCGUCGACUGGGUCGUGCUCGUCUCCGAUGACUCCGACUUCACUGACACGGUGCGCAAUGCACGCGCUGCCGCCCUGAGGAUGGUCGUGGUUGGGGACGGGUGCCGCGCGCUCGGGAAGGUUGCUGAUAUUUGGCUGCCUUGGGACAGCGUGCAAAAUGGGGAGGUUGAUGAGGAGAUGAUGCGGAGUGGGAAGGUUCCACAGUUUAGAUAUGAAGAGCACGAUGAGCAAGAUGAUGAUGAUGAGUUCAUAGUGGAUUGGGAUACGAAUGAACUGGAUGAUGUUGUUGAUGACAUUGUUACAAGCAGGACCAAGGUGUUUGGUGCUACAACAAUGUCUGCAUUUGCUGAAGAGGACAUUGUUGAUGGUGUAUUGGGGCUUCGACAGAAGGAGGAUGACAUGCUUUGGAGUAGAGACGACGAGGAUGAGGAUGGUUAUUUGUGAGAUUUGCACAGAUUGGCAGCAUACUGAACUUGGGAGCCCAUGGAUUGUUCAGGGAUCUUUGGUUCAAGAAGUAUCAAAUUCAAUUUGAGAAACAGAUCAUUGUUUCUCAAAGACCACCGAAUUCAAAUCUGAGGCAUAACAUCCAUCGCCUGUGCAUAACAAACACCCUGCUAGAGCAGUAGCUGGAACCGAAAGAAAGAACCGCAUAACUGGAUAGCCUUAACCAGGACACAAGUGCACCCUCGAUGCAGUCUGGAGGAACAGAAAACAGCGUAUAUACGGAUGGUGGGCAGGCGCUCCGUUGCAACACACACACACACACACACACACUUGAAGAGUGUCUGAAGGCUUGCAAUGGGUAAUGGCAUGUCCUGCAAAGGGUGGGUGGCAAUUUGGCAUAGUGUGAUGAGAGCAUUGCUAAAAAUGUAGAUGCACUGUCAUGAAUGUGUGCGUUGAAGAUUAGCCUGGAAUUGUUAAUGCAGUGAGUCAAUGAAUGUGUGCUGUUUACAGACAUGAUCUAUGUUCUACAGAUGGACUUUUGCUCUCUCUGUUCUUUCUGUAUUAUACUGUUAUAUAUGUGCUGUGAGUUUCUGAGGAAAGAUGUAUUUGCAGUUU